UAUCUAUAGUACUCUAUAGGAACCUCUUGUUUUUAUUCUAUCUAUGCGCUUAAUUUUAAUUACUUGUAAAAAUGUAUAAGUGUAGGAAUUAAAGUAGUGAUCGAGAAAAGUUUAAAAUGACGAGAAAGGAAAAAGGAAAAAUGUUUUUGUUGAUUUUAUUGAUUGGAGAGACAAGUCUCAUGCCUACGUACCCGAGGGAUCAAAUCACCGUAGUUCGGGGUAAAAAGUCGAUUUGUUUGUUGGUUUGCUUUUAUGGUUUUGAAAAAAAGGGUUUUAAAGAUGAAAAAAAGCCAAAGUGGCAUAAAAUGUAAGGUUGGUUGAUUUUUAUUUGGUGAAAGAAAGUCUAAAUGAUUAGGAUUGAUUGAUGUUUGAUUUAGAAAAGAGGCGCGCUUGCUUGGUUUGAAGUCCAAGGUUUAUUGUGAAAAUGGUUUGAANN
rnacentral:lncRNA from 1 species